rnacentral:rRNA from 1 species
AACGAACGCUGGCGGCAGGCCUAACACAUGCAAGUCGAACGCCCCGCAAGGGGAGUGGCAGACGGGUGAGUAACACGUGGGAACGUGCCCUUCGGUUCGGGAUAACUCAGGGAAACUUGAGCUAAUACCGGAUAAGUGCGAGAGCAGAAAGAUUUAUCGCCGAAGGAUCGGCCCGCGUCUGAUUAGCUAGUUGGUGAGGUAACGGCUCACCAAGGCGACGAUCAGUAGCUGGUCUGAGAGGAUGAUCAGCCACACUGGGACUGAGACACGGCCCAGACUCCUACGGGAGGCAGCAGUGGGGAAUAUUGGACAAUGGGCGCAAGCCUGAUCCAGCCAUGCCGCGUGAGUGAUGACGGCCUUAGGGUUGUAAAGCUCUUUUACUCGGGAAGAUAAUGACGGUACCGAGAGAAUAAGCCCCGGCUAACUUCGUGCCAGCCGCCGCCGUAAAAC